CCUACGGGCGGCAGCAGUGGGGAAUAUUGCGCAAUGGGCGAAAGCCUGACGCAGCGACGCCGCGUGAGGGAUGAAGGUUUUCGGAUCGUAAACCUCUGUCAGCAGGGAAGAACGGUCACUGUGCUAAUCAGCAGUGAAUUGACGGUACCUGCAAAGGAAGCACCGGCUAACUCCGUGCCAGCAGCCGCGGUAAUACGGAGGGUGCGAGCGUUAAUCGGAAUUACUGGGCGUAAGGCGCUCGUAGGCGGUAGGUCAAGUCACGGGUGAAAUCCCCGCGCUCAACGUGGGAACUGCCUUUGAAACUGGCAAACUUGAGUGUGUGAGAGGAUAGUGGAAUUCCAGGUGUAGCAGUGAAAUCCGUAGAUAUCAGGAGGAACAUCAGUGGCGAAGGCGACUAUCUGGCACAUAACUGACGCUGAGGAGCGAAAGCGUGGGGAGCAAACAGGAUUAGAUACCCCAGUAGUC
rnacentral:rRNA from 1 species